rnacentral:rRNA from 1 species
GCGAAAACUUUGCAAUGCGAGCAAUCGUGACAAGGGAACUCCGAGUGCCUGUAAAAUCAGGCUGUCCGCCAGUUUAAACAACUGGCGAAGAAAGGGCCGGGCAAGACCGGUGCCAGCCGCCGCGGUAAUACCGGCGGCUCGAGUGGUGGCCACUAUUACUGGGCUUAAAGCGUUCGUAGCUGGUCUGUUAAGUCUCUGGGGAAAUCCUCCGGCUUAACCGGAAGGCGUCUCAGGGAUACUGGCAGACUAGGGACCGGAAGAGGUGAGAGGCACUUCAGGGGUAGGAGUGAAAUCCUGUAAUCCUUGAGGGACCACCUGUGGCGAAGGCGUCUCACCAGGACGGCUCCGACAGUGAGGAACGAAAGCUGGGGGAGCAAACC